AUACGUAGGGGGCGAGCGUUGUCCGGAAUGACUGGGCGUAAAGGGCGUGUAGGCGGCCGAUUAAGUCUGGAGUGAAAGUCCUGCUUUCAAGGUGGGAAUUGCUUUGGAGACUGGUUGGCUUGAGUGCGGAAGAGGUAAGUGGAAUUCCCAGUGUAGCGGUGAAAUGCGUAGAGAUUGGGAGGAACACCAGUGGCGAAGGCGACUUACUGGGACGUAACUGACGCUGAUGCGCGAAAGCGUGGGGAGCGAACAGGAUUAGAUACCCUGGUAGUCCACGCGGUAAACGAUGAAUGAUAGGUGUAGGGGGUAUCGACCCCUCCUGUGCCGGAGUGAACACAAUAAGCAUUCCGCCUGGGGAGUACGGCCGCAAGGUUGAAACUCAAAGGAAUUGACGGGG
rnacentral:rRNA from 1 species